UGGUAGUCCAUGUCUGCACCAAAAAAUGGUCAGGCAGAGCUUUUUGAGUGAUUUGUCUUCUAAAAAUCAAACACGUUGCAGACCCCUACGUCUGCGCGUGGUCUACGUGAGGAAGACAAAAGUGGUUGUGAAGCACUUUUCCUAAAAAACAAACACCACCUCAAUGUGGCAUCGUAUGUUUUUUAUUUUAUAUAAAAAGCUUUGAUGAAUCUCUUUUAUUCUAAUGUUAAUGAGAUUCAGAUGGAUGUUAUAAUUGAUAUUAUAUGAUGUUAAAUCCAUUAGGUACCUUAAAAAUCAAGUAAAUAACCAAUGAGGUUGGCAAUAUAUAACAAAUGGAAAGCCUUUAGGAACACCUCAGUUUAAAGGUCUUAGCUAGGAUUCAAAUCUUACAGACGACAAGAUUAAAGAAAUUCAUCAUUCCAGUCUAUGUUCAAUCUAUAAAUGUUAACUCGUGCAAUGUAUAAUCAUUCAGAGAUGAUACUAUUUUUUCCAGUCACUUUUAAAUUUUAAGAUAUAAGAUUACGUCACAAUUUAGAUUCAAUAUGUUAAACCAUAAAAAUAACAUUAUUUUCCCUCUGAAAACAUUGUUUUAAUUACUUUUCAGUUUCUGUUCCCGUUCUACUUCAAUAAUUCUUGUAUAGAAAUGUAAAAUGUAAGUUGCAACCUCGUACAUAAUUUACUACAAAAGGAAAGUGAUUCCUAGAUUUAGAAACUUACAAAAUCAUGGAUUAGGGUUUACAAAACCAACAUAAACCCUUGAAAUAACCAAUAUGCAAUCUACCACUACCGUAAUUCUGAUUAGAUUCCUGAAAAAAAUACAAUUUUUUUUCAUGUUAUGUAUCUUUUUCUUGAGGCUACAAUAGCAUUUUAUCAUUACAAAACUAUCCCACAAAAUCAUGAACCAACUGACCUCCAAAUCGCUGUCGAAGUUGAUGUUCAUGUUGCUGCAAUUGUUGCACAUGUUCCGCGUUCUGCCUGAGUCCUAACGUAAGUGAAACGGGCCCCACCCCGCCUGCCUCGAAUGUGGUUCGUGGGUAGGGCAUUAUGUUUGUAAUGGUGGGUUGGGGGAUUUGGUACUCGGGCCUUGACCGUUUUUCGUGGUCCCAUAGUUGUUCGUUUGGUUCGUUUUGAUUGUUGAUCAUGGUCAAGGCUCCGGAAGUCCUUAAACACUCGGGUUGUUGCUUGUUUGUUAAUGAGCCCAUGUCCAUGCGGCUCGUGUCUUGACCGUCGGGUAUGGAUUUCUUCAACCAUAGGCUUCCAUAUGCGUACUCUCGCAUUUAUGAACCAGUUUGAAACCUAAUUCAAAAACCAUAUAAAGUAUAUUAUUCAGAUAAAAUUUUUGUACAAAAAUCUUUGCAUUUUGAACUCGAAACAAGUUGUGGUGUCCCCGGAUCGCGUGUCUGGUUCUCCAAAUGUAGCAAUCCAGAAGACUUACACAUGAGCAUAUCAAUAGCUAAUGAAACAAUAGUAGAAUCUUGUAUGUAAAUAUCAAUAUUUUCUACCUAAUUAUGACAAUUAAAAUGUAGAUAAGUAUUUGAAUUUGAUCUCACAAAUCACAAAAACAAGAAAAUAAUGCAAUUCUUAGGAGAUGUAGACACGGUAAAGAAUCAUAUUCAGUGUCGAACCUAGGAUUUUUUUUCCAUCAAGGUUGAUUUUCAGUGCUCAGAUGUCUCUUAACUCGACAUUCAAAUUUUCAGGUCACUCCCAAAAAGUGAUGUACCAUUCAAUAACGUCGAAUUCAGUAUCCCUUUCUUUGCUUUUCACUUUGUUUUUCAAAUGGAACAUGUAUAAAUUAUUCAUUUCUAAUUAAGUUAAAAAUUAUAUUUGGGUUAGGCGUCCAAAAUUCUUGAGGACCCGUCGAAAAACCUAAAAAUAUACGAAACAUGAAUU
rnacentral:lncRNA from 1 species